AGGCAACAAGUAGUGGCGCCAAUAGCGCAAAGCCUGGACCACCGCAUACAGUUCCUUAUCAUACGUUGAGUAUCGUCGUUUGGCCUCAUUUAACUUUUCGCUGAAAUAGGCGACAGGGUGACGAUCCUGACUUAAGACUCCGCCUAUACCUACCCCAGAAGCAUCACAUUCAACUUCAAAGACUUUGGAAAAAUCGGGAAGACGCAUGACAAGAGCUUCUGUCAUUCGCUCCUUGACUAACUUAAAGGCCUUCGCCGCCCCUCGUGUCCAAUGAAACUCCCCUUUCUUCAUGCACUCCGUGAUAGGCGCCAUAAUAGUGCUAAACCCUUUAAUAAAACGGCGGUAAAACGUAGCUAAGCCGUGAAAGCUCCGGACAUCAUGAAUGACCUUAGGCUCAGGCCAGUCAAUUAUCGCCUGAAUCUUAGUAGGGUCAGCAGACACCCCUGUCGACGAGACAAUGAACCCCAGAAAAACUACGCUAUCGGUAAAAAAGGAACAUUUCUUGACAUUAGCAUACAGGUUAGUCUCGCGAAGGGUAGAGCAAACUUGUUUGAGGUGGUCACGGUGUUGCUCCUUAGUUUUACUAUAGAUGAGGAUGUCAUCAAAGUAGACAACGAGAAAUUUACCCAUGAACGGCCGAAGAGUUUGUGUCAUUACCCCCAAAGCCGGCUGGUUCACUAGAAGCGAAGAAAAGCGUGGAACAAAAGGGGUUGCAUAUCAUUAGUCCUACAGAGUUUGAGCGUACAAUUGUUGGUGACUCAAUUGUGUUCGCCUUAGUAGUCAUGGAGGUUUCAUCUCACUCCACAAGUGAGGAUACUGCGGAAGUCCAAUCGAUCCUUCAGGAGUUUCGAGAUGUCUUUCCGGAGAACCUACCUGAUCAUCUACCUCCGCUAAGAGAUAUUCAACAUGCCAUAGAUUUCGUCCCCGGCGCUUCCCUUCCAAAUUUGCU
rnacentral:lncRNA from 1 species